CAGAUGUUUCCACAGGGCUGAGGGAUCCUGGUACCGGUGCAGGCUCUUGCCUUGGCGAAGGACAUGUGAGACCACAUUGUGGAGAGCUGGCCAGUACGCGCUGUAUCCUGAGCCCUCUCUGCCACGAGCUGUUCCCAUUGUCUGCAGUGCAAUGUCAUCCUCAUCCCUGCUGAUGUUGGGGCAUUGAAUGACUGCAUGGCAUCCCAUCCUGCCGUCCUUCAAAAGGCUCUCUGGACUUUUUCCUCCAACCAAAGAGCUGGAUGUGUCAGGCAGUAGAAAACCGCCCUGCAGAAGGACCUUCCUCUGUGGUGACCUCGAGGUGGAUUGGAGCUGGAGUUCCUGCGGUGCUCAUUCAUCAGUCUCCCUCAUGGUAAUUUGCAUGAUUUACGUUCUCACCAUUGUGAUUAGGUGCUGGAAAAAAAAUGAUCUACACUGGAGCUGACUUCAGAAAGCAACGUUCUUAGUCCAAAUCCAAUCAAGCUCCGCAGCAGGCAGCCCUUUUGAUUUAGCAUGAAUUUGAAUAUGUGUGGCCCCGAGAAUAACCCUCCUGGCUUUGGAAACCUCAGAGAUGAAAAGACUAUCACGUAAAUGAUGUGCAGAGGAUUAUCUCUGUGAACUGUCCUUCCUUCCUCCAGAGGCCGUUUUGCUGGAGUGAAUAGUGAGAUGCUGCACUGGAGUGAAAUCCAUUAUAAAAUGCAGUCAAAUGAAGCUCAGUGGGGACAUUUAUUUUUCCAGACACAAAAGUGAGUCUGGAGGAAUCCCACCAGAACGGUUCAUGGGGUUUUCGUGGACUCACAUCGCAGUGCAGUGAAGAGCAGAAUUUUGCUUUGCUGGAGGCAAUCUUACUGGACUAUUUUUUGUUCUUUUGCCCCUAAUAGCUUUAAUAAAGCUGGCAAAAUGUGUCUGCCUUUGAAUGUAAAAUCCCUGACUCUGUUGAUGUCAUUGUGACUCCAGUGGGCCAACAUUUUAAUC